AAUGGUACAUGAACAAUCUUGAUCCUUAUCCAAUAUUCAAAAGCUUUAUCUCCAAAUCAUCCUUCAAAAACACUAUAUAACAACUUGAUUUCCUCCUCAUUACACACACGACAGAAAUCACAACCAAAGGUUUAACAGGUUGUUGGUGAGGAGAAGACUAUGGCAGCACGUGGGAUAUACUGGGAAUCUAUGGUAGCUCGCUUGCCUACAAUUGAAUCACAGAAGUGUUUUCAAACAUUACCACAACAAUAACAAGCAAGAUCAGAAAUCUGGAAAUAGAAUCACAACAACAAUCACAUUAAUCAAAUACAACAGACAUAAUAUUCAGAAAAACUAUAAAACAAAUAUAAAGAAGAAGAGGGAGUUUCGAGUCGGAAACACAAAGAAGGUUCCAAAACCACCACCUCCACCAAGCAGCACCGUCGAACACUCAACACACGCGCCAUCAGAAGUUCGCCCUUGCGUCCUCACACAAUUUCGCCGCUCUACCCCUCUCUUUUUCCAACGAAGUCUCCAUCACUUCUUUUCCGUUUAGAUCCUUUGGUGGUUUUCAUUUUGGUUGAUGGAUAUUAUGCUGGGUUUAUGUUUUUAUAUAUUGUGGUUUGUUUUGCUUUAAAAGAAAUAGAAAUUCAUAUCCGCAACAAAAAUAAGACGAAGAAGAAGAUUAGAAGAAGUAAGUAGAGCACAUAUAUAUACCUUUUAAUUUGGUUUAUAUUUUUUUGCUUUUGAUUUUCUGCAUAAUGUUGUAUCUCUAACUUUGAAUAUUUGAGAUCUAAUUUGGGGUUUAAGGGUUUAAUUGGGGGUUUGGGUUUUUUUUGUGUUUGAUGUUUGAACCUGUUAGUGAAACCGAGAGAGAUUGAGAGGUAUUUUCUA